rnacentral:rRNA from 1 species
ACUGCUCAGUAACACGUCGAUAAUCUGCCCUAUAGUCAGGGAUAACCUCGGAAAACUGAGGCUAAUACCUGAUAGGUGAUAUAUUCUGGAAUGAUUUAUCAUUCAAAUUCGAGCUAUAGGAUGAGUCGGCGGCGGAUUAGGCUGUUGGCGGGGUAAUGGCCCACCAAACCUUAGAUCCGUACGGGCCAUGAGAGUGGAAGCCCGGAGAGGGACACUGAGAUACUGGUCCCAGCCCUACGGGGUGCAGCAGGCGCGAAACCUUUACAAUGCACGCAAGUGUGAUAAGGGGACUCCAAGUGCUUAUGCUUAGCAUAGGCUUUUGCCAAGACUAAAUAUCUUGGCGAAUAAGUGGUGGGAAAGACUGGCGCCAGCCGCCGCGGUAACACCAGCGCCACAAGUGGCAACCGCGAUUAUUGGGCCUAAAGCGUCCGUAGCCGGUUUGGCAAAUCUUUUGUGAGAUCGUUAGGCUUAACUUAGCGAAUGGCAGAAGACACUACCAAACUCGGAACCGGGAGGGGUCUGAAGUAUUCCAAGGGGACCGGUAAAAUGGGAUAAUCCUUGGAGGACUACCGAUGGCGAAGGCAUCAGACCAGAACGGAUUCGACGGUGAGGGACGAAAGCCAGGGGAGCAAACCGGAUUAGAUACCCGAGUAGUCCUGGCCGUAAACGCUGUGAGUUAGGUGUUGCAUAAACUACGGGUUUGUGCAGUGUCGAAAAGAAGUUGUUAAACUCACCGCCUGGGAAGUACGGUCGCAAGACUGAAACUUUAAGGAAUUGGCGGGGGAGCAC